rnacentral:misc_RNA from 1 species
ACACCUCAACCCUCCAAUGUUUUUGCAUUGAAGGUGUUGGUAGUGAGCGCUGCCGGACUUUUGGUCGGCUCGCUUUAAAAUCAUUAGCUGGAUCCAUUCUGGCCUAGUUCUACUCGGCGUAAUGAGUUAUUAUCGUCGAGGACGCUUGUCUUUCUAGGCAGGCGGCCACAGUAAGGGUGUUUGAACCGCUUCCAACACGUCUUGCUCCUGUAGCAAACACUUGAAC